rnacentral:misc_RNA from 1 species
AAAAUGGGCCGCAUGGCGUGUUAUAGGAGUCAGGUGUAGCUUUACUCUUUCAAGAAAUGACUGUCUUUGUUGUUGUUCAGCGUGUUCGAUUUUUGUGCUUCUCGUCACUCUUUUCAUUCUGAUCUUGCUAAUUACAAGGUAAUGCUGUGCUGUUGACAAAUUUCUAAUUUUGUUUAAUCUAAGAACUCGAAUUUCCCAGAUAUGCACAACAAACGGAUGCAGG